GGGGAAUAUUGGACAAUGGGCGAAAGCCUGAUCCAGCCAUGCCGCGUGUGUGAAGAAGGUCUUCGGAUUGUAAAGCACUUUAAGUUGGGAGGAAGGGCAGUAAGUUAAUACCUUGCUGUUUUGACGUUACCAACAGAAUAAGCACCGGCUACCUUCGUGCCAGCAGCCGCGGUAAUACGAAGGGUGCAAGCGUUAAUCGGAAUUACUGGGCGUAAAGCGCGCGUAGGUGGUGUUGGAAGAUGGAUGUGAAAUCCCCGGGCUCAACCUGGGAACUGCAACCAUAACGGCCGUACUAGAGUACGGUAGAGGGUGGGGGAAUUUCCUGUGUAGCGGUGAAAUGCGUAGAUAUAGGAAGGAACACCAGUGGCGAAGGCGACCACCUGGACUGAUACUGACACUGAGGUGCGAAAGCGUGGGGAGCAAACA
rnacentral:rRNA from 1 species